rnacentral:rRNA from 1 species
AUUGAACGCUGGCGGCAUGCUUUACACAUGCAAGUCGAACGGCAGCGCGGGCUUCGGCCUGGCGGCGAGUGGCGAACGGGUGAGUAAUGCAUCGGAACGUGCCCAGUAGUGGGGGAUAGCCCGGCGAAAGCCGGAUUAAUACCGCAUACGACCUGAGGGUGAAAGCGGGGGACCGAAAGACCUCGCGCUAUUGGAUCGGCCGAUGUCGGAUUAGCUAGUUGGUGGGGUAAAGGCUUACCAAGGCGACGAUCCGUAGCUGGUCUGAGAGGACGACCAGCCACACUGGGACUGAGACACGGCCCAGACUCCUACGGGAGGCAGCAGUGGGGAAUUUUGGACAAUGGGGGCAACCCUGAUCCAGCCAUGCCGCGUGCGGGAAGAAGGCCUUCGGGUUGUAAACCGCUUUUGUUCGGGAAGAAAUCCUCUGGGCUAAUACCCCGGGGGGAUGACGGUACCGGAAGAAUAAGCACCGGCUAACUACGUG